UUUAGAGGAAGUAAAAGUCGUAACAAGGUUUCCGUAGGUGAACCUGCGGAAGGAUCAUUAAUGAAUUUUUAGGGCGCUCUUUUUAGAGGUCCGACCAAUUUCAUUUCCACACACCGUGAACACACUUCAUUUUUACACACAAUUUAUAAACUCACAAGUCUAUAAGAAUGUAUAAAGUCUCUUAAUUGAGCAUAAAGUUAUAAUACAACUUUCGGCAACGGAUCUCUUGGCUCUC
rnacentral:misc_RNA from 1 species